rnacentral:rRNA from 1 species
CCCCGUACACAAAAAUGCACAUGCUGUGAGCUCGAUGAGUAGGGCGGGACACGUGGUAUCCUGUCUGAAUAUGGGGGGACCAUCCUCCAAGGCUAAAUACUCCUGACUGACCGAUAGUGAACCAGUACCGUGAGGGAAAGGCGAAAAGAACCCCGGCGAGGGGAGUGAAAAAGAACCUGAAACCGUGUACGUACAAGCAGUGGGAGCACGCUUAGGCGUGUGACUGCGUACCUUUUGUAUAAUGGGUCAGCGACUUAUAUUCUGUAGCAAGGUUAACCGAAUAGGGGAGCCGAAGGGAAACCGAGUCUUAACUGGGCGUUAAGUUGCAGGGUAUAGACCCGAAACCCGGUGAUCUAGCCAUGGGCAGGUUGAAGGUUGGGUAACACUAACUGGAGGACCGAACCGACUAAUGUUGAAAAAUUAGCGGAUGACUUGUGGCUGGGGGUGAAAGGCCAAUCAAACCGGGAGAUAGCUGGUUCUCCCCGAAAGCUAUUUAGGUAGCGCCUCGUGAAUUCAUCUCCGGGGGUAGAGCACUGUUUCGGCAAGGGGGUCAUCCCGACUUACCAACCCGAUGCAAACUGCGAAUACCGGAGAAUGUUAUCACGGGAGACACACGGCGGGUGCUAACGUCCGUCGUGAAGAGGGAAACAACCCAGACCGCCAGCUAAGGUCCCAAAGUCAUGGUUAAGUGGGAAACGAUGUGGGAAGGCCCAGACAGCCAGGAUGUUGGCUUAGAAGCAGCCAUCAUUUAAAGAAAGCGUAAUAGCUCACUGGUCGAGUCGGCCUGCGCGGAAGAUGUAACGGGGCUAAACCAUGCACCGAAGCUGCGGCAGCGACGCUUAUGCGUUGUUGGGUAGGGGAGCGUUCUGUAAGCCUGCGAAGGUGUGCUGUGAGG